AGCGAACGCUGGCGGCAGGCUUAACACAUGCAAGUCGAGCGCCCCGCAAGGGGAGCGGCAGACGGGUGAGUAACACGUGGGAACGUACCCUUCAGUUCGGAACAACCCAGGGAAACUUGGGCUACUACCGGAUACGUCCGUAAGGAGAAAGAUUUAUCGCUGAAGGAUCGGCCCGCGUCUGAUUAGCUAGUUGGUGAGGUAAUGGCUCACCAAGACGAUGAUCUGUAACUGGUUUGCGAGAAUGCUCAGUCAGACUGGAACUCAGAUACGGUUCCGCCUCCUACGGGAGGCAGCAGUUAGGCCUCUUCCCCAAUGGGGGCAACCCUGAUGGAGCAACGCCGCGUCCCCUCUUCCUGCCUUCGGGUUGUCCCCUUCUUUUCUCUGCGAUGAAUAUGACAGUAACAGAGGACUAAGGGUCUGCUAACUACGUGCCAGCCGCCGCGGUAAUCC
rnacentral:rRNA from 1 species